rnacentral:lncRNA from 1 species
GCCAGAAACUUCCCCAUCUCCAAUGGAAUAUAUCUUUCCCGAUUCAUCCAGCAGGACUCAUCACUGAAAACUUGAAAACAUGCUUACAAAAAGCCACAAGGGCAGAGGAGCUAAUUCUGCUGUUACAAAUAUAUAUUUUCUGCUCUGUUACAAAUAGAUAUUUUCUAAUUUUGGCACUUUGUAAAAAGAAAGGGGUAUCUUUAUAAUGAAGCUCUCUUCAUCCUCCACAAAGACAUAAUGAACUUUUAGGAACAUAUUUACCUAUAUUUCAAAAAUUCCCCCAAAUAAGAGAACAAUUCAGUGAACGAGACUGUCUGACACCAUGCUCAUCCAUCACCUAAUUUACUGUAACCCAUUGGCCUUUACACUUCUUAAACAAUUUCUUUUAUAUUGUGGGAACCCACACUCAUUUGUGUGUCCCCUUCUUUCUCAUGCUUAACCAUUUAUUCUCUUGUUGCUGAUCCAGCUCUAUGUGAGCACAUUCAGAGCACAGACUAUUUGCCAAAUUAAAGAGAAUUCUGCUGAGAUAUUUUAUCUGGAGAUAGGCUUUUUUUUUAUUUAUCCAUUUUCUCCUUUGUAGCAUGAUUGGGUUGGACUGGGUGAUUUCAUCUUCAAGGCUGUUUUCUAGAAGGUCCUGGAAUUUACAUAAAUUGGCUCAUGGAACUCAGCCACUCUAUCAUGUCAUCACCAUGAUGUCACAAGGAAUCCUAAGGCCCCGAGGGCUCCUUAAUGAACAAAGCGAAGUUGUUUAACUUUCCAACUAAAUUUGGUAAGUGUUCUAUGUGUCUGGAUUAAAUUCUGUCCACUGAAUCUGCCUCCUGCUGAUAGAGGCCAAAACCAGUCUAAAACCCUCUGUCAAGCCACUGCUUCAGCAAGUUCAAAUCAAACAUCCGACCACACCAGUACAAAAACAAACAAAUGCACAGAAAUAGGUCUCGCUGCUACUUCUGGCCUUCCCUUGUUCUGUGGGGCAUUUAACCCUAUCGAUUUCAUUUGCUUCACAGGUCAGCGCAUCCCCUUCCUGCCAGGUGUGUGGACCUUGAGAAACUGGAUGCAGGCUCGUCCUCACAAGUAGGUAAAAUCAGAAGAUACUGGAAGGAAGGGGGUCAAAGGAAGGAAGGCAAGAAGGAAGGAAAAGAACGAAAGAAAACAGUUCCCUGGACAUAGUCAGCUCACAAACCAGCUUGCCAUGAAAAUGUCCAUUUGUGAACCACUUGUUAAAAUAGACAAUAAAGUGUUGCGGGGGGUUUGUUUU